GACGAACGCUGGCGGCGUGCCUAAUACAUGCAAGUAGAACGCUGAAGGAGGAGCUUGCUCUUCUGGAUGAGUUGCGAACGGGUGAGUAACGCGUAGGUAACCUGCCUGGUAGCGGGGGAUAACUAUUGGAAACGAUAGCUAAUACCGCAUAACAGUAGAUGUUGCAUGACAUUUACUUAAAAGGUGCAAUUGCAUCACUACCAGAUGGACCUGCGUUGUAUUAGCUAGUUGGUGGGGUAACGGCUCACCAAGGCGACGAUACAUAGCCGACCUGAGAGGGGGAUCGGCCACACUGGGACUGAGACACGGCCCAGACUCCUACGGGAGGCAGCAGUAGGGAAUCUUCGGCAAUGGACGGAAGUCUGACCGAGCAACGCCGCGUGAGUGAAGAAGGUUUUCGGAUCGUAAAGCUCUGUUGUAAGAGAAGAACGAGUGUGAGAGUGGAAAGUUCACACUGUGACGGUAGCUUACCAGAGAGGGACGGCUAACUACGUG
rnacentral:rRNA from 1 species